rnacentral:rRNA from 1 species
UGAGGAAUAUUGGGCAAUGCCCGAAAGGGUGACCCAGCAACGCCGCGUGGAGGAUGAAGGUCGUAAGAUUGUAAACUCCUGUUAGAGGGGAAGAAUAACUAAGUUUGGAGCUUAGUAUGACUGUACCCUCAGAGAAAGCCCCGGCUAACUACGUGCCAGCAGCCGCGGUAAUACGUAGGGGGCAAGCGUUGUCCGGAUUUACUGGGUGUAAAGGGCGCGCAGGCGGAAUGGAAAGUCAACCGUGAAAGCUCCCGGCUAAACUGGGAGAGGUCGGAUGAGACUGCCGAGCUAGAGGGUCGUAGAGGGGUGUGGAAUUCCGGGUGUAGUGGUGAAAUGCGUAGAGAUCCGGAGGAACACCAGAGGCGAAGGCGGCACCCUGGACGACACCAGACGCUGAGACGCGACAGCACGGGGGAGCGAACGGGGAUUAGAAACCCGUGUAG